AACUCUGUUGUUAAGUAGAGUGCCAGAAUUUCAAAAAGUGGGAUUGUCUUGGAUUUUGUAACAAUACUAAGAGAGUAGGCAGAGGAAGAGAAGUGGCUGCUCUGGACCCUAAAGACUGGGUGUGGUGAACCUCUGUCUUAAUGUCCAGUGUCUUCAUAUUUGGUGAAAUGUGU